rnacentral:rRNA from 1 species
AAGAGGCUGAAACUCGCCUCUUCGAAGUCGGAAUCGCUAGUAAUCGCAGAUCAGCAUGUUGCGGUGAAUACGUUUCCUGGUCUUGUACACACCGCCCGUCAAACCAUGAGAGUCGCCAACACCCGAAGUCCGCUUUGCGGCCUAAGGUGGGGGAGAUGAUUGGGGUUAAGUCGUAACAAGGUAAC